rnacentral:rRNA from 1 species
CUGGUGGAGUGCUUAGAAGUGAGAAUGCCGGUAUGAGUAGCGAAAGACGGGUGAGAAUCCCGUCCACCGAAUGCCUAAGGUUUCCUGAGGAAGGCUCGUCCGCUCAGGGUUAGUCAGGACCUAAGCCGAGGCCGACAGGCGUAGGCGAUGGACAACAGGUUGAUAUUCCUGUACCACCUCUUUAUCGUUUGAGCAAUGGAGGGACGCAGAAGGAUAGAAGAAGCGUGCGAUUGGUUGUGCACGUCCAAGCAGUUAGGCUGAUAAGUAGGCAAAUCCGCUUAUCGUAAAGGCUGAGCUGUGAUGGGGAAGCUCCUUAUGGAGCGAAGUCUUUGAUUCCCCGCUGCCAAGAAAAGCUUCUAGCGAGAUAAAAGGUGCCUGUACCGCAAACCGACACAGGUAGGCGAGGAGAGAAUCCUAAGGUGUGCGAGAGAACUCUGGUUAAGGAACUCGGCAAAAUGACCCCGUAACUUCGGGAGAAGGGGUGCUUUCU